rnacentral:misc_RNA from 1 species
GAUGAAGAACGUAGCGAAAUGCGAUAAGUAAUGUGAAUUGCAGAAUUCAGUGAAUCAUCGAAUCUUUGAACGCAUCUUGCGCUCCUUGGUAUUCCUUGGAGCAUGCCUGUUUGAGUAUCAUGAGCAAAUCUCAAAGUCAAUUCCUUUUGUUGAUUCAAUUGGUUUUGCUUUGGACUUGGAGGCCUUGCAGAUUUCACAGUCUGCUCCUCUUAAAUGCAUUAGCUGGAUCUCAGUAAUUAUGCUUGGUUCCACUCGGCGUGAUAAGUAUCACUCGCUGAGGACACUGUUAAAAAGGUGGCCAGGAAAAUACUGAUUGAACCGCUUCUAACGGUCUAUAAAGUUAGACAAUUACCCUUAAGUUUGAUCUCAAAUCAGGUAGGACUACCCGCUGAACUUAAGCAUAUCAAUAAGCGGAGGA